GCGGGUGUAGUUUAGUGGUAGAACACGAGCUUCCCAAGCUUGUGGCGAGGGUUCGAUUCCCUCCACCCGUA
rnacentral:tRNA from 1 species